CAUAGGUUAAUGAGGCGAACCGGGGGAACUGAAACAUCUAAGUACCCCGAGGAAAAGAAAUCAACCGAGAUUCCCCCAGUAGCGGCGAGCGAACGGGGAGCAGCCCAGAGCCUGAAUCAGUGUGUGUGUUAGUGGAAGCGUCUGGAAAGGCGCGCGAUACAGGGUGACAGCCCCGUACACAAAAAUGCACAUGCUGUGAGCUCGAUGAGUAGGGCGGGACACGUGGUAUCCUGUCUGAAUAUGGGGGGACCAUCCUCCAAGGCUAAAUACUCCUGACUGACCGAUAGUGAACCAGUACCGUGAGGGAAAGGCGAAAAGAACCCCGGCGAGGGGAGUGAAAAAGAACCUGAAACCGUGUACGUACAAGCAGUGGGAGCACGCUUAGGCGUGUGACUGCGUACCUUUUGUAUAAUGGGUCAGCGACUUAUAUUCUGUAGCAAGGUUAACCGAAUAGGGGAGCCGAAGGGAAACCGAGUCUUAACUGGGCGUUAAGUUGCAGGGUAUAGACCCGAAACCCGGUGAUCUAGCCAUGGGCAGGUUGAAGGUUGGGUAACACUAACUGGAGGACCGAACCGACUAAUGUUGAAAAAUUAGCGGAUGACUUGUGGCUGGGGGUGAAAGGCCAAUCAAACCGGGAGAUAGCUGGUUCUCCCCGAAAGCUAUUUAGGUAGCGCCUCGUGAAUUCAUCUCCGGGGGUAGAGCACUGUUUCGGCAAGGGGGUCAUCCCGACUUACCAACCCGAUGCAAACUGCGAAUACCGGAGAAUGUUAUCACGGGAGACACACGGCGGGUGCUAACGUCCGUCGUGAAGAGGGAAACAACCCAGACCGCCAGCUAAGGUCCCAAAGUCAUGGUUAAGUGGGAAACGAUGUGGGAAGGCCCAGACAGCCAGGAUGUUGGCUUAGAAGCAGCCAUCAUUUAAAGAAAGCGUAAUAGCUCACUGGUCGAGUCGGCCUGCGCGGAAGAUGUAACGGGGCUAAACCAUGCACCGAAGCUGCGGCAGCGACGCUUAUGCGUUGUUGGGUAGGGGAGCGUUCUGUAAGCCUG
rnacentral:rRNA from 1 species